UUCUUCAAAAAUUUUUUUAAAAAAAAUUAAUUAAUUAGAAGGAAUUCGGCAAGUUUAGUUGCUUCGCCUGUUUAUCAAAAACAUGGCUCUUUGCUCACAUAAAUAUAAAGAGUCGAGCCUGCCCAGUGAAUUUUUAACGGCCGCGGUACUCUGACCGUGCAAAGGUAGCAUAAUCAUUUGCCUUAUAAUUGAAGGCUAGUAUGAAUGGUUUGACGAGAGCAACACUGUCUCCUUUUUAUUUUCAAGAACUUAACUUUUAGGUGAAGAGGCCUAAAUUUUAUUGAAGGACAAGAAGACCCUGUCGAGCUUAAAAGACAUUAUAGGAGUCUAGUAUAUUUUUAGAUAAAUUUUUCUAUCAAGCUUUUUAGUUGGGGCGACUAAGGAACAAAAAAAGCUUCUUUCCAAUAAUAAACAAUCAUGUUUAGAUCCGAUAAUAGCGAUUAAAGAAAUUAGUUACCGCAGGGAUAACAGCAUAAUCUCUCUUAAGAGACCUAAUCGAAAGAGGGGGUUGUGACCUCGAUGUUGGACUAGAAUAUCCUAAAGAUGCAGA
rnacentral:rRNA from 3 species